rnacentral:tRNA from 1 species
CUGGGUGUAGCUCAAUUUGGUAGAGCGCGCGGUUCGGGUCCGCGAGGUCGCAGGUUCAAAUCCUGUCACCCAGA